CCAGGUUGAUUCUGCCUGACGUAGACGCUAUUCCCUAAGAUUAACCCAUGCAUGUUUUUGAAGAUUAUUAUCUGAAAAAUGGACUGCUCAGUAAUACUCACUUUAUUUUAUGUGCACCGCAGAUAACUACGUUAAAGUGUAGAUAACAUGUGUACAGUAAGAGUGAGACCUAUCAGCUAGUUGUUANGGUAAUGGCUUAACAAGGCAGUGACGGGUAACGGUAUUACUUUGUAAUAUUCCGGAGAAGGAGCCUGAGAGACGGCUACUAAGUCUAAGGAUUGCAGCAGGGGCGAAACUUGACCUAUGGAUUUUAUCUGAGGCAGUUAUGGGAAGUAAUAUAUUAUUGUUUCAUAUUUUAAAAAUAUAUGAGGUGAUUAAUUGGAGGGCAAAUCAAGUGCCAGCAGCCGCGGUAAUACUUGUUCCAAGAGUGUGUAUGAUGAUUGAUGCAGUUAAAAAGUCCGUAGUUUAUUUUUAAGAAGCAAUAUGAGGUGUACUGUAUAGUUGGGAGAGAGAUGAAAUGUGACGACCCUGACUGGACGAACAGAAGCGAAAGCUGUACACUUGUAUGUAUUUUUUGAACAAGGACGUAAGCUGGAGGAUCGAAGAUGAUUAGAUACCAUUGUAGUUCCAGCAGUAAACUAUGCCGACGAUGUGAUAUGAGUAUUUGUAUUACAUAGUAGAAAUUAGAGUUUUUUGGCUCUGGGGAUAGUAUGAUCGCAAGAUUGAAAAUUAAAGAAAUUGACGGAAGAAUACCACAAGGAGUGGAUUGUGCGGCUUAAUUUGACUCAACGCGAGGUAACUUACCAAUAUUUUAUUAUUCUGAGAGAAUCCUGAUUCGAGAAUGAUAAUAGUGGUGCAUGGCCGUUUUCAAUGGAUGCUGUGAAGUUUUGAUUAAUUUCAACAAGACGUGAGACCCUUUUAUAUAGACAGACACAAUCAGUGUAGGAAGGAAAGGAUUAAAACAGGUCCGUUAUGCCCUCAGACAUUUUGGGCUGCACGCGCAAUACAAUAGAUAUACAGUCUUUAUGGGAUAAUAUUUUGUAAGAGAUAUUUGAACUCGGAAUUGCUAGUAAAUUUUAUUGAAUAAGUAGAAUUGAAUGUGUCCCUGUUCUUUGUACACACCGCCCGUCGCUAUCUAAGAUGAUAUAUGCUGUGAAAUUAGUGCAAACUACUUGAACAAUAUGUAUUAGAUCUGAUAUAAGUCGUAACAUGGUUGCUGUUGGAGAACCAUUAGCAGGAUCAUAAUCAGGAAGUAUAAGUUUGUUUGUAUGUCAUUACCCACACAUGGGAUCAAUAGGAUACCAUAACGAUGAAGGUCGUAGUAGAAUACGAAAGUAUACUUACCGAAUUUAUAUUCUAGUAUAGAUUACCCUUUGAACUUAAGCAUAUCAUUAGAAGGAGGAAAAGAAACUAACUAGGAUUUCUUUAGUAGCAGCGAGUGAACAAGAAUCAACCCUUGAUUGUAAUCCUUUACUGGAGAUGUAAAUCACUGUUUUAUUACUUAUUUAUAAAGAAUAUGUAUUAUUCGUCAGCAANAAAAUAGUAAAUGUUUUUGAGUAGGGCUGCUUGGUAGUGCAGUUUGAAUACAGGUAGAAUGAGAUAUCUAAGGUUAAAUAUAAUGGUAUACCGAUAGCAAAUAAGUACUGCGAAGGAAUUUGUGAAAAUGUGUGGGAUGUAGCCUUAUUUUUAAGGACCCGUCUUGAAA
rnacentral:rRNA from 1 species